GCAUAAUACACGGACGUGCCUUGUCCCGCACAAUUACUUGUGUUUUUAAGACCAGCAGACACGUGAUCGACUUUGCAGGAAAGCGCGUGCAUACAUGCUACCGCAUGCAGCAAGCUCAUGACAACUUGGGGAGUUGAAUAUUGGCGCGAUCCAAAGGAUUAGAGGCGUAAAGAAAAUUUACGCGGGUAAAUCAAGAUGCACUCGAUGCUUAUGCUACUUGGAAGCUGGGCAUUCCUCGUGUUUUUGUCUACGCAGGGAGAUGCUGCGGAAGGUCAGUUUACCAAUUCAUUACUCGUAUUACGCGCAGGAUCUGCAAGGCAUCCAUGGGGUGUCCUGGAGAUCCU
rnacentral:lncRNA from 1 species